rnacentral:rRNA from 1 species
AUUGAACGCUGGCGGCAGGCCUAACACAUGCAAGUCGAACGAGUGGCGGACGGGAGAGUAAUGUCUGGGAAACUGCCUGAUGGAGGGGGAUAACUACUGGAAACGGUAGCUAAUACCGCAUACCAUCGGAUGUGCCCAGAUGGGAUUAGCGAGUAGGUGGGGUAAAGGCUCACCUAGGCGACGAUCCCUAGCUGGUCUGAGAGGAUGACCAGCCACACAGGAGCUAGGACACGAUCCAGAAUCCUACGGGAGGCAGCAGUGGGGAAUAUUGCACAAUGGGCGCAAGCCUAGUGCAGCCAUGCCGCGUGUAUGAAGAAGGCCUUCGAGUUGUAGAGUACUUUCAGCGGGGAGGCGUUACCCGCAGAAGAGGCACCGACUAACUCCGUGCCAGCAGCCGCGGUAAUAC